UACUUAGGGUGCGAGCGUUAAUCGGAAUUACUGGGCGUAAAGCGUGCGCAGGCGGUUCGUGAUGUCUGGUGUGAAAGCCCCGGGCUCAGCCCGGGAAGGGCGCUCGAAACGGCGCGGCUCGAGUGCCGGAGGGGAGAGUGGAAUUCCUGGUGUAGCGGUGAAAUGCGUAGAUAUCAGGAGGAACACCCGUGGCGAAAGCGGCUCUCUGGGACGGUACUGACGCUGAGACGCGAAAGCCAGGGGAGCGAACGGG
rnacentral:rRNA from 1 species